AGAACAGCUCUAUAGAGCUGUCUGAGUUUUUCGGGGCAGCACUGAGCAUAACUGAGUGUGUGCCCCUCAGCCUACAGGCGUCUCUGUUGGGGGAAGAGAGGUUCCGCUGGCUGCCUGAUCCCAGAAGGCAGUGGUGUUCUCCUGACUUCUCUGCAAUGGUAUCUUCUCUCAUCUUCCUCCCUGUCUUCAGCUGUUUUUAUGCUACUUUUCACCCUUCAGACGGAGUUUGAGUGACUCUCAUCAUUGCAUACCUUUGUGGUGUGGAAUUUUCUCGUUUUGCUUGUAAAAGCCGAGGCAGAAAACUGCGGUGUGCGUGCUAAAUGUGGUAGUAGUAGCACUAUGGAAGUGGAUAACUUUUGGGAUGGAGCUGUUUUUGGUUUUACAGUGAGUGCAUAAUGAGCAAAGUUCACCAACAGGAUUGUGUUUUCUCAAAUAAUGACUACGAUUCAUAUGCAGAGGAAGAUGACAGUUGGCAAAUGGCUUUAAUAUUCAAUAAACCUUGUUCUGCUGUGGGGAGCAGUUGAAAGCAAUUCACUUGCAUGACCAAGGGGUACAGCCUGGUUCCACCCCUCCCUAACGUCAUUUAAGGGCUGGCUGCUCCCAGGGGAGGAGCUCCUGUGUGAUGUUUUGUGUGCCCUGUUCCUCAGAAAGGGGUAAGCAGUUCUGUGGUUAUUUACUAGAUUGAGUCCUUUGUGUUUCUUGGCUAACUUAAAGCUGUGUCUGCUCUUGCCUUUGUCUAUAGUUGCCUUUUUGUGUUAAGGGUUGCACUUCAGAGUUUGUGGGCUGGCCCUA
rnacentral:lncRNA from 7 species